rnacentral:rRNA from 1 species
GACGAGGGGUCCUAGCGUUGUUCGGAAUUAUUGGGCGUAAAGCGCAUGUAGGCGGCUAUUUAAGUCAGGUGUGAAAUCCCCGGGCUCAACCCGGGAAGUGCAUCUGAUACUGGAUAGCUUGAGUACUGGAGAGGGUAGUGGAAUUCCUGGUGUAGUGGUGAAAUACGUAGAUAUCAGGAGGAACACCUGUGGCGAAGGCGGCUACCUGGCCAUGUACUGACGCUGAGAUGCGAAAGCGUGGGGAGCAAACAGGAUUAGAAACCCCCGUAGUCC